UAAACGACUCACGGCAACGGAUAUCUCGGCUCACGCAUCGAUGAAGAACGUAGCAAAAUGCGAUACUUGGUGUGAAUUGCAGAAUCCCGUGAACCAUCGAGUUUUUGAACGCAAGUUGCGCCCGAAGCCAUCCGGCCGAGGGCACGUCUGCCUGGGCGUCACGC
rnacentral:rRNA from 1 species